rnacentral:rRNA from 1 species
CGAGUGGCGGACGGGUGAGUAAUGUCUGGGAAACUGCCUGAUGGAGGGGGAUAACUACUGGAAACGGUAGCUAAUACCGCAUAAUGUCGCAAGACCAAAGAGGGGGACCUUCGGGCCUCUUGCCAUCGGAUGUGCCCAGAUGGGAUUAGCUUGUUGGUGGGGUAACGGCUCACCAAGGCGACGAUCCCUAGCUGGUCUGAGAGGAUGAACGGCCACAUUGGGACUGAGACACGGUCCAGACUCCUACGGGAGGCAGCAUG